rnacentral:rRNA from 1 species
CUUGGCGGCGAUAGUGCAGUGGACCCACCUAAUUCCAUGCCGAACUUAGAAGUGAAACGCUGUAACGCCGAUGGUAGUGUGGGG